GGCUCGGCCUCCUGGGCACUGUCAGUGCUCUGAGUGCUGUCAGAGGAGCUGGCCCAGCCUCUUCCUUUGCCAGCGCUCGGAUGAGCUCCUGACGGGUUUUACCGCGGCUACAGCACAGCAAGUUGCAGAUGCUGAGCCUACAGUCCUGGCAGGUGGAACCUUGCCUGAAGGACCUUGAGAAUUCAGCAAGGCUCAUGUGUCUCCAGAAACUGGAAUAAUACAAUCAAACUGGAAUCCAGUCUGUGGUUUUCACAGGAUAAAAAGGAUGACUCAUUUGCAGUAGCACUCUCCCUUCAGGACUAAGAGAGGCAGGGAUGUCCUUACCUACAGCCCCUACGUGGCCGUUCUGAGCUGCCAUCAUGAGCGGGGUUUUCCCUGCGUGAUCCGCAGCGUUCACUUGUGCGCUGUGGCUCAGGAGGAGCUGGAGGCACUCCACGUGAUCGGCGAAGGCUGCGGCGUGAAGGGGCGUUCUGAGGGAAAGGAACACAGCCACAGCUUUUGCUAAAGAAUCACAAGAGUCACGUGUGCCCACCUUCCCAAAAACCACAAAGUGCAAUUUUUUUUUUUUUUCCUGCGAAACUUAAAGUUAUCACCAGGAGAAAGUUACAGUAGCAGCAUCUUAAGUAAGUUAAAUAAUAUUUACAGGCUCUGUCCUGGGAAGCAGGAAGGUGGAUAUAACAGUUUAGAGAUAAGACACUGUGAAGAAUCUCAUAUUAGCAGCUUAUUUAUUUUAACAGAACAUACUGCCUAACAUGAAAAGCAGUACAAUCCCUCACUCUUAUUCCUGUGAUUUUUUUUUUAAAUAAGCCUCAGAUGGGAAGAACUAUCAGAAAAGAACAGAUCCAUUACUUAAGAAAACUAAAAUAUUUUAAGUUAUAUUCAAAGAUACUGCAGGAACAGCACUACUCCAAAAGGCAGAAGGAAUACAAUCCACUUUGAAGGCUAUCAGUUUCUACAAGACUGAGACACCAGAAAUCGUUUGCGGUCGCACUUUGGCAUUUUGGGUCUUUAGUGUGACUACUAGAAUUGAAAAGACAGUUGGUACACAACCCAGCUUAGUGUCACUUCAGUUUUGCUUAUCAGUAAAGACAUAUCCUAAAGCAACAUCUGCAUUUGUUACUGGAGAUUUCUACUUACACAGCACAGUGCAAUGGAGAGAAGCUAUUACCAUAGAAUUUGUGGAAAAGUUUUUGUUCCAACAGUACCUCUAUGCAGUUUUCAUGACCUAUAAGAGAUCAGAUAUUUCACAGUGUUGCACAAAGUAGAGGCCACUGCUACCCUGUACGGAGCUCCUCCAGGAACAGCAGAGAAGACACGUUCCCUUUGGCACCUCCAGAUAUUUACCUGACAGGUACAUAUCCAAUAACAACCUUCAAAUAAAUGAUAAAGUCUACAUUUCCCAGUUAAUUAUGCAUGUUACAUAAUUAACACCCCACACAUGAGGAGUGGAGCGGGCUCCCAGCAAGUGCAAGUUCACAAGCUCAGGAGUAGGAGGAGGUCUGAGAGGAGGCGGUGAAUUUCCAUAGUGUUGCCACUGCAAAAGGCUGCAAGUUUUGAACACCAGGAUAAUUUCAUCACCAGUCAGAGCCCACAUGUAUUUUUCAACCUUUCUUCCAAAGGAGAAACCGUGAGGCAAGUGUUCCCUCUUCCCCUGAUUUUUUGGCUGAGGAACCAUUAAGAGAAGGCAUCACAAGGGAGUCACCACACAUCUUAAAGUGUAGUUGGUAAUAGAGAGGUAUGGUAAAGAAAAGGCAAGCAGGUAAGGGCAGAGCAGUAGUGGUGUGGAAAAAAUAUGGGAUUCUGUGUGAGGGAGGACUGAACCACAGGGACAGAGAAAAAAAAGACCAAUGAAAUGGAAGAUAAAUGGUUUAACUGUAGGACCUCAGAAAACAAGCAUCAGUCCUCAGUACAUGUGAAAAUCUCCUUCCCUUUAGAAGAAAUGUGCACAGUGAUAAUAGGUAAGUAAAGAUAACUGCUUCCGUGUGGUAGGGUUUAUACCACAAGUGUAACAUAAGAUCACACUCACCUGAGGCAUGGAGGGGGGUCCUUUUGGUGACAUUGUCUUUUACAGUGACAGAAGCACCCUGGCUGAUGAGAGCUUCCACACACUCUGCAUGUCCUUUAAAUGCAGCCAAGUCCAAAGCAGUGCGUCCCUUCUCAUCCUUAAUAUCCAGAUCUACCAGAGAUUGGAGAAGUACCUCCAAGGCUUGAUGAUGACCAUUAUAGGCCUAGAAGUAUGAAAUGUGUCAUUUAAAGAACACAGCUCCUGUCUUUCAAAGACCUUUCAUAUAAAUUGUGAAUAA